UACGGAGGUUGCAAGCGUUAUUCGGAAUCAUUGGGCGUAAAGGGUGAGUAGGCGGUAGGGUGUGUCUUAUGUGAAAUUUUAAGGCUCAACCUUAAAAGUGCAUAAGAAACUACCCAACUAGAAUUGCGGAGAGGGUAAUGGAAUUCCUAGUGUAGGGGUGAAAUCCGUAGAUAUUAGGAGGAAGACCUGAGGCGAAGGCGGUUACCUGGCCGACAAUUGACGCUAAAUCACGAAAGCGUGGGGAU
rnacentral:rRNA from 1 species